rnacentral:misc_RNA from 1 species
AAUAUUGGUUCACUCAGGUUCUUGAAAAGUGAGGAAAGAAUUAGCGCCAUAACAGUUAAUACGAUUUCUCUCGACAGGAAAAGCUCAGGAGUGCGAACAACAUUGAGUGCUGUGCGCCAUGAGAGAACUGCAACCUCUCGGAGCCAUGGGUUAGCAAAUUUAGGACCGUGUGCUGGCUCAUCAAGCACUUCUUCUUCUUCCAUGUCAAAAUCCUCAUAAGAAGCAGCAUAUGAGUCCUCCACUGAGGAGCUAAAGACCACUGGA